rnacentral:rRNA from 1 species
GACGAACGCUGGCGGCGUGCUUAACACAUGCAAGUCGAACGGAAAGGCCCUGCUUUUGUGGGGUGCUCGAGUGGCGAACGGGUGAGUAACACGUGAGUAACCUGCCCUUGACUUUGGGAUAACUUCAGGAAACUGGGGCUAAUACCGGAUAGGAGCUCCUGCUGCAUGGUGGGGGUUGGAAAGUUUCGGCGGUUGGGGAUGGACUCGCGGCUUAUCAGCUUGUUGGUGGGGUAGUGGCUUACCAAGGCUUUGACGGGUAGCCGGCCUGAGAGGGUGACCGGCCACAUUGGGACUGAGAUACGGCCCAGACUCCUAUGGGAGGCAGCAAUGGGGAAUAUUGCACAAUGGGCGGAAGCCUGAUGCAGCAACGCCGCGUGCGGGAUGACGGCCUUCGGGUUGUAAACCGCUUUCGCCUGUGACGAAGCGUGAGUGACGGUAAUGGGUAAAGAAGCACCGGCUAACUACGUG